rnacentral:lncRNA from 1 species
GACUCCAUGUGAGAUGAUGAAUGUUGCGGAAGCUUUUCAAGAUGAAGAUACGUGUUUUGAUGGUGUUGGAUGGUCUAGGUAGAAGUCCUUCUAGGAGGUGAGGCCAACCAUGAAGGAGAAAGUAAGAAGAAGUCUAGAGAAAGACAUUUCUUAGAGUGAGAACUAAGGAGAAGGAGACUUGCAAUUUUGGCAAAGAAACUCUAGCAUUCAAAAUAGUUCUAAAAAAUUAUACAAGGUUGCCUCUCCUUUUAUAGGUNNNNNNNNNNNNNNNNNNNNNNNNNNNNNNNNNNNNNNNNNNNNNNNNNNNNNNNNNNNNNNNNNNNNNNNNNNNNNNNNNNNNNNNNNNNNNNNNNNNNNNNNNNNNNNNNNNNNNNNNNNNNNNNNNNNNNNNAUAUUCACCUACAUCAAGGUUUAUGGUGCACUACUUCACUCUAAAAGCUACUAAGCUUCUAAAACAAAGCUAAAGAAAAUUUUUACAUAUUUACAGAGAUAAAAGAAGAAGACUAGUAAGUGAUUCUCCAAAAGAGUAAAAUCCUUCAAUUUCCAUCUUCUUCUUCCAGCCUUAGCUUAAGUUGAUGCUCCCCUCACGAAUCUCCAUUUAGUUCCCAAAACGGAUUCCAUCAUACCUUCCCUCUUGAAAACGAUCUGUCCUCAGAUCGGAAAGAUAUUUGAGGAAGCACAACUUUGGUUUAAUGAUCUCCUCCUGGAUCAAAAAUGUACCUACAACAAAUAACAAAUAGGAGUAUUAUUAAAAUAAUAGACCUAAACAAAGAAACAAAGAAAGAAAGUCUUUUGUUUUUNGAAAAGGUUUUAUGAAGAAGGGUGUUGGCCUUUAUUUGAAAAAGUUGGUGUAUUGACAAAAGCAUAUACAAAAGAAGAAAGAAAUAAGGCCUUUUAUUUUUGAAAAUAUUUUCUNGAAGAAAAUUUAUAUUUUCUACAGAAUCUAAAACUUUUUCUUCACUAGGUGAAGAGUAAGAGUUAUCCAAGCUUCUAGUGUAUUGAUCUUUUAAAAGUAAUGUUCUUUUAGGAGGACAUUUAAAAGAAGUGUUCCUUCUCUCAAAACACUUGAUGUAUUGAACAUCUCUUGUUUUAGUUUCUUCAAAAGUUAUAAGACCUAAUUUACAAAAAUCUUUUUGUUCACCUUGAGUUAUUUGUAACUUGUGAGGUAACAACAACUCAAAAAGUGAUUUUUCAAAAGUUAUUGAGGAGUUAAAAAUAAUGGGGGAGUGAAAGUGGAGGUAAAAGACUUUCAAAAGUCAAGAUUGAAAUCAAGAAAUGAGAAUCAUUAAUAAAAGGAUAAGAGCUCAAAGUUGGGAAAAAUCCUUUUAGAACUCUUGAAUCAAUUAUGAUUGAGAGAGUAGAAGGUGCCUUGAGUAAUUCAACUUUGAGUAGGAGUUAUUCUUUGAGCAAAAUUUCUUCCUUCACUCUUUCUCUCCUCUCAAUCUCUUCUUUCUCUUUCUUUUGUUUCUCCUCCCUUUCUCUUCUCUCAUUUUCUUCUUUCUCUUUCUUUUCUCUUUCCUCCAUUUCUCUUUUCUCUUUUUCUUCUUUUUCUUUCUUUUCUCUCUCCUCCCUUUCUCUUCUAGCUUCCUCCUCUCUAAAUUUUUUCUCUAAUUGUAUUUGUUCCUCUUUCUUCCUUUCCAUUUCUCUUCUUUCCUUAUCCCUCAAGAGCUUCUCUUGUUUCCCUUCAAUCUCUUUCUCUUUAAGAAAAAACUCUUUUUCACCUCUAAUACAUUCUCUAUCUUUCUCCAUGAGUUCUCUCUUUUCAUGUUUAAGCUNUUGAUUUCUCUUGAAAGAAGGUGGAACAAAUUUUCUUCUCAUACAAGCUUUUAGAUCAGUCCAAUCUCUAAUUGGUGAUUUGAUACCACUUUUAACAUCAUUUUGCCUUUGAUACCACCAAUCAUAUGCAUGGCUCUCAAAUCUAGAAGAACACAACCAAAAUAUGUGAAACUUACUGCACUUAAUGAUGAAUGGUUGAAGUUUUUCAAUAUUUUCUUCCCAAGCUAAGUAUGACAUCAGAUCAACUUGUCUACUAAAAUGUGGAAUAUUCUCAGCUCUUAAACACAACUCAUUCUCAGUCUACUUAUAAUAGAAAUGAUCAUGAUCCCAAAACCUAUCAUCCAAACUAGAAUGGUAGAAGUUUUCUUUGUGGUAACUAUUUUGAAGCUCAUUUCUACCAUGAGAGGUGGAUGUUUCUAUAGUGUACCUUCUUCUAUUGGAUGACUCAUCUUGUUGUUUUUCUCUCCUUUUUUCCAUCAUAAACUCAGUAAACAUACUCUCUAACUUGUUUACUUUUUGUGUAAGUUCAUACCUAAGAUGUAAGUCCUCUUGACUAUCCCUAACACUCCCAUGAACACUUGAAUGAGAAUGAUCACUCAUGUUGUAAAGUUUAAAAUAUUUUCAAAAAGGUUUUCAAAAUACUUUACAACUAUGAGUGAGAAAGGUUUUCACAAUUAAACUUUUUGUUUUUGAUGGAUGAUUUCAAAAGAGAAACAAUAGAAUAAGAAUCUUCCAAGUAGCUCCCAGGAAAGAGAGGUGAGUCACAAUGAACAAGCUUAGAAACCAAGUCUUUCCUAGACAGAGUGUCCUUGAGUUAGCCUUACCUAAGCUUCUAAGAAGAAAUCUUCCAAAACUUUUUUUUUUUUAAAUGCAAAUGCAAAGAAUGCUCCUAAAACCAAAGAAAGGUUUAUAUAAGAUGCUUUCAAACAACCUAAGUACCACAGAGACUUAAAAGAUAAACAAGACAAUGUAUAAAAGGAAAAUAAAAAGAAUUGAAUGCUAUGUAAACAAGUAAACUAACGGUCCUAUGUAAAGAUGCAAAUGACACUUAAGAGCCACUUGACACACCUUCACUUCUAAGAGUGGAAACUAAACUAUUACACAAUUUUAGCAAUGGAGAUGAGAUUGUACCAAAGACAUUUUCCCAAGACACCAAGCAAAUAGAAAAUGAAAUCAACUAAAAAAAAUUACAAGAACACAAAGGUUUCGUGAUACAAAAUUAAUAGCCAAUAAAAGUGCUAAAACAGCCCCUAAUUCCUUGCUUCUUUCAAGUGUUUGUCCUCUCUUGAUUCACUCCAAAACAAUGUAGUUAUCUCCCUCCAAAGUCCAAGGAGAAAUGCUUCUUUUAGCCUUCUUUUUAGCCUUCAAAAAUGCUACCUUCAAGGUUAGUCAAUCUCCAAAAAGAACCACCAACCAAAUCUGUUUUUCCAACACCAAAGAGGCUAAAAAUAAAAGCAAUAAAAGCACAAUUUGAAAAGCUAAACUCAAAUGGAGUAAAAGAAGACAAUACUUCAAGGAAAGCCAAGAAUGACAAGCAAAAAAUUAAGGCAAGUCAAAUAGAAAGACAUUCAAAUGGAAUUCCUAAAGAAAGGUGCUAGAAUAGAUGAAUAAAACCAAACUAAAACUAAGAAUACAAGACCAACCAGAUUAGCCAAGGCAAAACACUUGCUGGAAAAAUGCAAACAACACUUAAAAUUCAAGUCCAAAAUUGAGUUUCUUGUUGUUGUUGUGUCCUUUUCUUUUGCAAUUUUUUUUUCACUUCUUUUGUCCCUUUUUUUUUUUUCUUUUGUUUUUGAUUGAGGGAUCUUUUGUUUUUAUCACUUAAUUUUUCAGAACACAACAAGCAUCAUAAUAUUUGCACAACUCAUUCAAAAACAAGGCUAAUUCAAGUGUGUACGAAGGGAAUCCUAAGGAAUCAAAUGAUCUUUGGAGAACUAAAAAAAAAGACUCAAUAAAAACCUAAUACUAAGAAAUUGUUUAGGAACUAAUAACAAGUAUGAAUACACUCAUAAAGCUCAAAGAAAACCCAGAAAAACCCAAAGCACAAAAAUCCGAAAUUUCACGCUGGAACUGGACAACUCUGACCUUUGCUCAAUGUUUUACCCAUAAUUUUUUCUAUAAAACUCUAAAUGAGAUGAGGUUUUUUUUUUCUGGAACGUAGACUCAAAUCUAUUUCUUUUGACAUAUAAAACGUAGAGUUCGGACCUCUGGUCGGGUUGCAGUUAUUUUUUUAAAAUCGAGUCCAGAGAGCAGUUUGCACCAGAUUUCAGAGAAUGGGUAGGUUUGAAGUUUUCAAUGUUUUCAAUUUUUCUUUCAAGUUCAAAAAAGAUGUGAUGACAUAUAUGGAUAUACAAGACUUAGGAAAAAACAAUAGGAUCAUAAAAUCAUAGAAAAUGAAUCAAAAGAUGACCCAAACCCAUGACACAAACCCAUAAACUCUGUACACAUACAAAUAGAAAAAUUGGAAAUCCUUGGCACACAACAUGGAUGAUUCAAGAAGAACAAUUAAUUUGAAUUAAUAUUUCAAGACAUACAACACAUACUCAUGACUCAAACAACAUAUUAGACAUGUUGGAAAAGAUGAAACAACAAGGAAUUCACAAGAACACAAAUGGGUAAGAACUUUGAGACACUUAUCUCUUGAAGACUUCUAAGAUAGUGACCAUAGCUCUUGAUACCAAAUGAUGGAGGUUGCUUUGAUGAUGCUUCUUCAACAAGAGAUGCUCUCCAAGGUGUGUUGAUGAAGCUCUUCAAAGGAUGGACUCCAUGUGAGAUGAUGAAUGUUGCGGAAGCUUUACAAGAUGAAGAUAUGUGGUUGAUGAUGUUGGAUGGUCUAGGUAGAAGUCCUUCUAGGAGGUGAGGCCGACCAUGAAGGAGAAAGUAAGAAGAAGUCUAGAGAAAGACAUUUCUUAGAGUGAGAACUAAGGAGAAUGAGACUUCCAAUUUUGGCAAAGAAACUCUAGCAUUCAAAAUAGUUCUCAAAAAUUAUACAAGGUUGCCUCUCCUUUUAUAGGUGAAGGAGUAGGCUAGCAUUCAAUGCACUAGAAAGGAACUAAA